UUUUCUUCGCCUGUACAUAUAAAAAGGAAAGCAAAGCACAGAAAAACAAUUUGCGUCUUAAUUUGUCAAGAUUAUAGAAUCUUCCUUCAGAUAACCAAGAAUUUACAAUGAAGAAUUUUUUUCUUCUUCUGCUAUUAUGUGCACUACUUCUGGCAAUCUGCGAGGCACAAAAUAUUGGAACGUUAUGGUUUUUGAGUAGAAUGUUUAACAGACAAAAUAAUCGACCGAUGAACUUAAUGGAUAUGAUGCUAAUGAACCAGUAUGACAUCAUUUAACUUCAGAAAAUGAAUCGACAAACGAUACUCGACGCAAAGGAAUGCGACAAGGAUACCCACUUGUUGUUAUAUUAUUGGAAUCCAUUCAUAAUCAACCAGACUAUACAUUUUAUUUAUAUAACAUUGUAAUUAUCAUCUAACUUUGUAUUUAUAUAUUUUAUAUUAAUUUCAAAAAAAGUGUUUUUUGUUUGAA